rnacentral:SRP_RNA from 1 species
UGUUGGGUCCCGUGCGAUUUCAUGGCGUGAACCCUGUCAGGUCCGGAAGGAAGCAGCAGUAAGCGUAUGUUGAGAUGUGCUGCGGGUAAACCUGAUACCU